GUCUAUGGCCAUGCACCCUGAAUGUACCCAAUCCCGUCUGAUCUUGAAAGCUAAGCAGGGCCGAGCCUGGUUAGUACUUGGAUGGGAGACCACCAAGGAAUACCAGAUGCUAUAGGUG
rnacentral:rRNA from 1 species